rnacentral:rRNA from 1 species
UACAGAGGUCUCAAGCGUUUGUUCGGAUUCAUUGGGCGUAAAGGGUGUGUAGGUGGCGCUGUAAGUCGGGUGUGAAAUUUCGGAGCUUAACUCCGAAACUGCAUUCGAUACUGCGGUGCUUGAGGACUGGAGAGGAGACUGGAAUUCAUGGUGUAGCAGUGAAAAUGCGUAGAGAUCAUGAGGAAGACCAGUGGCGAAGGCGGGUCUCUGGACAGUUCCUGACACUGAGACACGAAGGCCAGGGGAGCAAACGGGG